GUUUUUUAAUCGACAAUCCACGUUAAUUUUAACUUUAAUUAUAAAUUUAUAUACCGCCAUCUAAAAAAUUAAUUUUAUAAUAAUAUUUAUAAUAAAAAAUAAAAAGUUAGGUCAAGGUGUAAUCUAUAUUAAAGUAAAUAAUGGGUUACAUUAAAAAUAAUUUAAGGAUUAUUAUACUAAAAUAUUUUAUAAAAAAGGAUUUAAAAGUAAUAAAAUAAUAAUAUUUUAUUAUGAUUUAGAUAAUAAAUGUGCACACAUCGCCCGUC
rnacentral:rRNA from 2 species